rnacentral:rRNA from 1 species
UACGAAGGGGGCUAGCGUUGUUCGGAAUCACUGGGCGUAAAGGGCGCGUAGGCGGCUUUAUAAGUCGGGGGUGAAAGCCUGUGGCUCAACCACAGAAUUGCCUUCGAUACUGUAGAGCUUGAGACCGGAAGAGGUAAGUGGAACUGCGAGUGUAGAGGUGAAAUUCGUAGAUAUUCGCAAGAACACCAGUGGCGAAGGCGGCUUACUGGCCCGAUACUGACGCUGAGGCGCGAAAGCGUGGGGAGCAAACAGG